rnacentral:lncRNA from 1 species
UAUGCAACACCAAGUGAUUCCGAAUUCUUGAAUUCUCUGAUAGGUGUGCCAUCCACAGAAAAGCUGUAAUGGGAGCACAAAAGAAAAAGUCAGAAGUUCCAACAAAGCAUAAUGAGGAGGUGUGUAGUAACUGUGAAAUAACUUACAUGAUACGUUGGGGAUUCCAAAGGAUGGAAUAGGUGUGAAAAUCUGCAGUCGGGUCGAACCAGAGAUAGAAUUGCUGCUCCCUAUUGCCCUUUCCUUGGCCAAACACAUUGGUGUGAAGAAUAUAAGGAUCGCCGCUAAGGUUUCCCAAGAACUCAAAGUCUAUCUCAUCAUGGGUUUGUCCUUGCGAAGACAACUGCACAAUACAUAACACAUUAUUAGUUAAAAAUGUACAAAGUAUGGUAUCAAGAAAGAAAAAGAAGAUGAAAUCUCUUCUACUGUGCUUACAUAAUAGGCAGUGACGGUGCCAGCAGAAUUUCCUGGGACAAGUUUGAGUAGCAUAUCAAUCUUGCCAAAUAGAUACUCAUUUUUGGAUUGAAAUCCGGAGCCAGAAGUUUUAUCGAGUGAGAGAGUAAGAAGUUCUCCGUUGUUGAGUAUCUUAGCUCUUCCAUCUCCCCAUGUGAUAUCAAAAUCUUGAUGGAAAUUACCUCCAAAUGCUAUUGCAAAACAGCUACUUAUAACUAAAACUAAAGAAACCGAAUUCAAAGAAGUCAUUACUGAAGAGUUGAAUUGCGUUGGCAAAAUACAAUGAAUAAAUCUAAGAAGAUUUGGUGUUUAAGAUUGUUGUUUGAUGUUGGAAUAGGAUCCAUUCAAGGGUAUUUAUAGGGAGUUUGUGGGGUCUGUAGAAAUUGCAGGGAGGGUUCCAUAAAUUCAAGUUGUGUGGUGAAAAGUGUUUGAGCUGGAUACAGAUAUUGGCCAAAACGAGUUGCUGUCAACAGUUUUUUGUAUAUCCAGUGACAACCCAUUUCGCCUUUUAAUAUUUAUUAUUAAUACCACAGUGCACACUGUUCUGAUAAUAUUGUCCUAGGUGUAAGCUUUUGACUAGAGUACAACUGAUUUACUUUUCAAAUAGUAAUACCUCUACAAUUUAAAAUAGAUAGCGAUUCAUUUACAUACUGAUACAUCUAUAAUUCAAAGGAAUCAAACCGGACAAGAUCCAAAAUCGCUCGAUUCGGUCCAAUUAAAUUCUCCAUUGUCUACGGAACCAACUUGUCCAUUUUGAAAUUCUCAAUGGGAUUUGGUUCGGUUCAAGUUCUCAAGAAACUCAGGUUGAACAAUCUGGCAUCCACUCCUAAUAUUUAAAGGUCCUAACCUUUAUCAUUUUCGUAUUUACAUCUUUAAGUUUUUCAUCACAUCUUUAUUUUUAACAUUUCCUUAGCUAGCAAAUAUUAUCCUUGCACAAAUGUUAUUAACGUGCUCUAAAAUGAGGAAUAAAUAUAUAGUUGUAAUUCUAUUUUUUUGGCUUAUUUAAAAAUACAAUGGUAAAUGUCUUUAUUUUAUUUGGACAAAAACCGCAAUAAGGGACAAGUUGUGUUAAUUUGAGAAUAAGAAUACAGUUUUAAAAAAUUAAGACAUAAAUGUGAUAAUGAUUAAAUAUUACGAACAUUUUCAUGCAAUCAAAAUGCGUUGCAAUUAUUAAAAAAUAUUUUGUGAAUACAUUUAGCCUUACUAAAUAAUCACACACUGAAUAGAAGUUUUGGUUUAAGACAUAUUUCGUUGUGUUAAAUCAUUUCUUUAAGUUUAUCGAUUCAGCUCAAUCAAUUAUCAACAACCCUCAAAUUUGUUACUUAGCCCCUGUUUGAGCCACAUUUUUACUUCAUUAAAAUGAAAAAUAUGACCGUUAUUCAUCACAUCAAGCCACAAUUUUUGAAUUUCUAUCUCUGGUGUGGGGGCCCAUAACGGUUCUAUUUCUCAUUCUCAUUCUCAUUAUAAUGUGGCUCAAAUAGGCUCUUAAUAAUAAAUGUUUUAGCAUUAAACUAAUCAAAUAAGCCAUUAAUUUUUCAAUAGAGAUUUUAAAUUUUGAAAUAGACAUCAUCAAAUUGUAUUUGGUUCUUUAUUAGUGUUAUAACUUUUUUAUUUUUACAUUUUAAAAUAUAUAUAAUAAUAUCCGUUAUCUAGGUUUCCUCCAGGUAUCAUAAUUGGACUCAGUAAAGAGAUGAUCCAUAUAAGUCUGGCCACUGAAAUCUCUAUUGUUCUUGUCCUACAUUGACAUUUAUUUUGUGGACUUUGGCUUUACGAGUAUUAUUGUUGUCUAGUUACAAUCUAUGCAUUACGCUCUAUUGGUUACUCUAUUUCAAAUCCAUUUAUAAAAAUUCUUUAGUUUUUUGAGAAAAACAUUAGUUCGAUCUAGAAAGAUUUGAUUAAAGUGAAGGUGAUCGACGACGAUGAGUUCACUUUUGCUUUUGUUACAAGGGAUUUCCGGAGAAUUUGAUUAAGCCCCUGUUUUCUUGAAAUUAAAAUAAAUAAAUAAAUAAAUAAAUAAAUUUUUAGUAGAUUUUGAUAAAAGUUGAUUAAAUAUGUGGUUGAAAAGUUGUGAAUCUAAUGAAAUGUAUAAUUAAAGAGUUUAGCUUAGAUUUAAAUUAUUUUUUAGCUGAACCAAAAAGGGGACUAAGUUUUAGAAACUUCCCUUGUCGAUAUAGGGGUUUUUGGGAAUUUUAGGAGUGUCUUAAGUAUUAGAUGUGACUUAUACCUUAUAAUCGUUUGGAGGCGGCUCAAGUAACUUUGGUGCAGUAGGUCGAGUCUUGUGUUAACAUUAACAAUAUUAGUGUUGAUUAUUAAAUUGAAAAUUAUUUGAAUGGAAUAAAGCCUCGAAGGGGAUUAUCGAUUGUACUACCAAAAGUGUGACACAAUGAACUUUCGCCAAUAAUUAUUCACAAAAUAUAUUUCAGGUCCACUCAAGCUCUCUCAACGCGGAUUGUUUAUAAAUGUGGCCCCCUUGGCCUUAUAAAAAUAAACCUCAAUAGAAUUGAACUUAUAUAAAUGUACCUCAUUUUAUGAUCAUGAUCAAUUUGAUCAUAUGUAUAAUAUUAACUCUCAGAAUUCUCUACAUAGAUAUUUACGUGAAAAAUUUAAGAAAGUUUGUUCUGGCAUCCACUCCUAAUAUUUAAAGGUCCUAACCUUUAUCAUUUUCGUAUUUACAUCUUUAAGUUUUUCAUCACAUCUUUAUUUUUAACAUUUCCUUAGCUAGCAAAUAUUAUCCUUGCACAAAUGUUAUUAACGUGCUCUAAAAUGAGGAAUAAAUAUAUAGUUGUAAUUCUAUUUUUUUGGCUUAUUUAAAAAUACAAUGGUAAAUGUCUUUAUUUUAUUUGGACAAAACCGCCAUAAGGGACAAGUUGUGUUAAUUUGAGAAUAAGAAUACAGUUUUAAAAAAUUAAGACAUAAAUGUGAUAAUGAUUAAAUAUUACGAACAUUUUCAUGCAAUCAAAAUGCGUUGCAAUUAUUAAAAAAUAUUUUGUGAAUACAUUUAGCCUUACUAAAUAAUCACACACUGAAUAGAAGUUUUGGUUUAAGACAUAUUUCGUUGUGUUAAAUCAUUUCUUUAAGUUUAUCGAUUCAGCUCAAUCAAUUAUCAACAACCCUCAAAUUUGCUACUUAAUAAUAAAUGCUUUAGCAUUAAACUAAUCAAAUAAGCCAUUAAUUUUUCAAUAGAGAUUUUAAAUUUUGAAAUAGACAUCAUCAAAUUGUAUUUGGUUCUUUAUUAGUGUUAUAACUUUUUUAUUUUUACAUUUUAAAAUAUAUAUAAUAAUAACCGUUAUCUAGGUUUCCUCCAGGUAUCAUAAUUGGACUCAGUAAAGAGAUGAUCCAUAUAAGUCUGGCCACUGAAAUCUCUAUUGUUCUUGUCCUACAUUGACAUUUAUUUUGUGGACUUUGGCUUUACGAGUAUUAUUGUUGUCUAGUUACAAUCUAUGCGUUACGCUCUAUUUGUUACUCUAUUUCAAAUCCAUUUAUAAAAAUUCUCUAGCUUUUUUAGAAAAACAUUAGUUCGAUCUAGAAAGAUUUGAUUAAAGUGAAGGUGAUUGACGACGAUGAGUUCAUUUUGCUUUUGUUACAAGGGAUUCUCUGGAGAUUUUGAUUAAAAUUUGAUUAAUCCCUUGUUAUAUUGAGAAAAAAGAAAACAAUUUUUAGGAGAUUUAGAUAAAAGUUGAUGAAAUAUGUGGUUGAAAAGUUGUGAAUCUCAUGAAAUGUAUAAUUAAAGAGUUUAGCUUAGAUUUAAAUUAUUUUUUAGCUGAACCAAAAAGGGGACUAAGUUUUAGAAACUUCCCUUGUCGAUAUAGGGGUUUUUGGGAAUUUUAGGAGUGUCUUAAGUAUUAGAUGUGACUUAUACCUUAUAAUCGUUUGGAGGCGGCUCAAGUAACUUUGGUGCAGUAGGUCGAGUCUUGUGUUAACAUUAACAAUAUUAGUGUUGAUUAUUAAAUUGAAAAUUAUUUGAAUGGAAUAAAGCCUCGAAGGGGAUUAUCGAUUGUACUACCAAAAGUGUGACACAAUGAACUUUCGCCAAUAAUUAUUCACAAAAUAUAUUUCAGGUCCACUCAAGCUCUCUCAACGCGGAUUGUUUAUAAAUGUGGCCCCCAUGGCCUUAUAAAAAUAAACCUCAAUAGAAUUGAACUUAUAUAAAUGUACCUCAUUUUAUGAUCAUGAUCAAUUUGAUCAUAUGUAUAAUAUUAACUCUCAGAAUUCUCUACAUAGAUAUUUACGUGAAAAAUUUAAGAAAGUUUGUAUACAACUAUGAAAUUAGCCACUUCAAAUAGGUUCAUUGCUCUAGCUCAAAAUACGAUUAAUCCGACGUUGGCUAUAUAAGCUCCUAGUAGUUUACCGGAUAAUUAAUAACUCGAGCAUUCCCUGCCCACCAAGCAAAAUCGGUGAUUUCUUGGUCACGAUCAAUUAAAGCUAAAGUUCCAAUUUACAUAAUUUCCUUUUAAAAGUCUUCAGUCACAAUCUCUGCACAAUACAAUCCAUUUUCACGCGUCUCUUAACCUUUUAGAAUAAUUAUACAAAAGACUUUCACAAGUAUACUUUCAAAUUACCCCCAACGCAUAUCUAUCAAUGACUCCCAUUAAGUAAUGUUGUUGAUAAUCCUGCACGAUAAUCAACGAACAAAAAGCAGUAAAUUUAAAAUUUUUUGUUAAAUCGAUUAUUGUUUCAAUUUUUUCUCAAAUGUAAUAAUAAAAAUUGAUGAAAUUUUGCAGGUGUCAUCAAUGAAAGAAUUUACAGCAUUCUUCAACAUAUAUUAUGUUAAAGAUUCUUGAAAGAAUGAGAAUUUCAAGAUUUUUUUUGUGGUUAAAUCACCUCACUUUUUUAAACUUAGAAAUCUCCAUUAUUAGCAAUAGUUCCAAUAUCAAUCAUAAAGGAAAAAGAUUUUUAUCAACAAUCUAGGUGCCAAAUUUGUGGUUCUAGCUACUUUCAAUUUUUAUGGUAUUUCCUAUACGAAUUUUCACAAUUUUUCUUGCCAUAUUUUUUCUCUCAUUGUCCAAGACAAGACAUGGAGGUCGCAUGAAAGUUGAGGAAGUUAUAAGUUUAAAUUCCAAAUUCAAACCACUCCACGGGUUGGAGUUCCACUUGACAGUUUUAUGAAGCUUUCACUUGAACGCUAUUAACCAAAAUAUUGGUUAACUUCAUAAAAUUGGACAGGGAGCGUGAAAAACGAGGUGCUUGGAAGGCAAUGUGAAAUAAGAGAGAGUAACAGUGACUGAAAAUUUUAUGGUCAAUUUUGUGAUAGCCGAUGUUCAUAUUGGACUUAUAUGAUUUAUAAAAUUAUCAUUAAUUCAUAAUUUCCCAAUCGUCCUUUUUAUACAUUUAAAACCUUACAAAACUAUUUACAUACAAGUCGUUAACCCUCUUGAAACCAGAGGCGGAGAUAGAGGGGGGCAUUGCUGGGCUACAACCCAGCAAUGCUCCCCAGCCCAUAUAAAUAAUAGGGCAACUUACAAAAAUACCCUUAAAAUUAGAGGUGUUUUGAAAAAUCAUUUGAAAAGUUUUUUAAAAGUAAAAAAUACUGUGUAAAAUGAAAAAGUGACACAAUGUCACUUUUUUUAAUAAAAAUUAUCACUUUUUUAAAAAAAGUGACACAAACACUUAAAAAGUGACAAAAUUCAAAAGAAGUGACAAACUCAAAAGUGGCAAACACAAAAAUAGCAUCAUUCAUUUUUGCAACACCAGUAAUCAUAUUUUUAACAUAAUCAACAUAUUGAGGACAAUCCACAUGAGCGUAGUGACGGUUUUUAACAUAAUCAGCAUGUUCAAGACAAUCCACAUGCUGAUUAUGUCAGAAAAAUAUAACAUAUCAUAUCACUUUUUAUCUUAUUAAAUAAGUGACAAAAAUUUAAAAGAUUACGAAAACUCAAAAAUAGUGACAAAAUGUAAAAAAGUGAAAAUGUCACUUUUGAAAGUUUAGUGUCACCUUUUUUUUAUUAAAAAAUGACAUACUUUUAUUAAAGAGUGAUGUUUGUCACUAAAAAAAAGUGAUAGAAAUUUCAAGAACGUUAUUGAUAAAAAGUGACAAACACUAAAAAAAGAGGCAAAAAUUCAAAAAAGUCACAAAUACCAAAAAAAGUGUCAAAAAUUAAUGAAAAUUUAAAAAAGUGUCGAAAUUUUGAAAAAGUGACGAAUUUAAAAAUACGACACAAAUUAAAAAAGCUACAUAGAUUCAAAAAAGUGGCUGAAAAUAGAAAAGUGACAAACAGUGAAAAAAGUGACGUAAAUUAAAAAAAGUGACAAAACUUUAAAAAAUGAUGAAACAUCGAUCAAAACUGUAAAAUAUAUCAUUUUAUGCAAAUUCAAUCCAAACUACAACUAAAAAUGCCCAACAACUAUCAACAUAAAAUUGAUCCAAUGCAAACACAAUCAUUACAAACAUAAAUUCUCUUUAAGCCAGACCAAGGUAUUGCCACAAAAGCAUCAAAUGAGAAACACUCGAAUGAUCUAAUGGUUUGCGAGAUAUAACAUGGUUCACGAUUGUAGUUCCAUAUGGAAACAUUAGAAUUCUCAGUCAAUGAGACAAUGUGCUUUCCAUUUGAGGUCAAUGAAGCAAAAAUGUGGUCCCCAACAUCACCUAGGCCUAUAGACAGAGUGAGAGUAUUAAUCUAGAAAAAUUGGAAAGACCAAUACAAAAUUCAAUAGGUGCCCAAAUCAUAUUAUUCCUCGAGAAAAUUCUUGGCCAAGAAAAGCACUAGUUGCAUACCUUCGUAUCUCCCAAUCACAUUCAACCCACUACGAAUUCUAAUUUGGAAAUUAGCACACGUGACCAACACUUUGCUCCAGUCCUACAGGAUAAACUACAUUUGUGGAGCAUCAAAUUAGAAUCGAAAUAAAGGUUUUAUUUUUUCAAGCAAACUUGCUCUCUCUAUACUUUUAUCUUCUAAUUAAAAAGAAGGGUGAUAGGCAAUUGAUGGUAACCUGGAAUCCAGUUACCCUUUUGCAGGCCGAACUCUUUUUACUGUUUAAGAACAUCUGCCCUUCCAGUUGGGAGUGGUUAUCUUACAAAAGAUAAAAGAAAAAACAUUAAUCAAUGCUUAGUCCCUAAAAGUGAGUUUCAGUUUCACUGCAAAAUUAUGGCAUAAUAGUAACAAAGUCAUAUGGACUUCAUGAGCAAAAUCAAAACCUUAGAACUAUUAUAAGAUGUGAAAUUAUAUGGCAUCAUAAGAGCAAUUGACCAUUAUUUUAAGAAAAAAAACCAAAAAAAUACUACAAAUUACAUGAUAUUUUAAAAAAAUGACACCUACCUGUAUUAGAGCCAAUAAUACCACCCUAAACAACAGAAAGAAAAAAAUUCCAUUAGUGCAUCUUAUAUUUUUGAAGCCACAAUUCCAUAAACACAAUCAUAUUCAACAAAAUCACUUCGAAAGAAUCUUUCAAACCAUAUUAACAUAUGGAGUUAGAUGAAUCACAACAUCGAACACUUGGUGUGCAUAUUUUGAUGAACUUGCAGAAGUUACUUAUCUGGCAUCUACAGUGUGAAUCCGCCAUGAAAUUUCUCUCAUGGUUAGUAGAAGAAGUGAGGUCAAUUCGCCCAGAGAUUGCUGGGGAUGCAAAGGAUUGCAACGGACAUUGGAUCUGCCAUAGACUUGUGAGAAAGUCCCACUGGUUGGUGGAGGUGUAGAGACGAUUCAGUAUGUGCUUGGUAGGCUGCUGGCUCGGAUAUGACGGUGGCACUGACUGUGACAAGCUCCACCAUCCAUGUACUGCACUUUUUUUAUUUGUUAUGGUAAUGAAAGUGGGAAAUAGUGAAGAAACACCAAUAGGUUCUCUCUCUCUCUCUACGUGUUGGAGCUUGAGAUUCUAGACGUAUAAAUUACAUUUUGAACUGUUUAAUUAGUUUAAAGUGUAUUUUUCAAUUUUGUUCCUCGUAGGCCGUACUAGGCCUAAUUUCCUCUAAAUAAUAUUAGUCCAAAUAUUAAUAUUAGCCCAGCUUUAAGAAGAAUUGUAGACUUUUGGCCCAAAAUAUUAAUAUUAGCUAGAUAUAGUUUAAAUCUCAAUCCAACUCCAAUGCUCAAUUAUUCAAAUUGUAUUAAAGACACUACAAUUAUUAAUUACUCUUUUCAUGGCAUUCAUGAAAUGUAAAUAUUUUAUUGUCAAAUUAGAUGUUCUAUUUAAUGCAUGUUUGACUAAAAUUUACUUAUAAUUAUUAAGUAAAUUUUAUUAUAGAUAAUUUGUAUUGAUUAGAUCUAAAAGUAAAUUAUUUGUUUUAAUAGAUAGAGACAUUACAUAUUUUUCUAAAUUUAAAAGUAAUUAAUUUUUUUUAUUACUACGUAUGUUUUUAUUUGUUACUAAUUCAUAUUUUAAAAAAAAUUAAAUAAAUAAAUAAAAACUUAUUUUGACCAUAAAAUAGAUAUUAUGAUCAAAAUAAAUAACAUACUAUAAAUUUGAUAUUGACAAUCAAAAGAAUAUUUGUGAAAACUUUCAGUUGUUUGGAAAGAUUGAUUGUCAAAGUUAUUAGAGGAGAGUACUCAUUGAAUAAUUUUUAAAAUUUUUGUUGGUUGAUAUGUAUUUUUGCUUAUUUCUAUUAUAAUUUGGUUAGUUUAUAUUUUUUAAAGUAAGUGUUGAUUUUCUAUUUGGUAAAAAAAUACAAAAAUUUAGUGGAAUAUCUUAAUGUGAGAUAUCUAAUUUUUAUUUUUAUUUUUUAAUUUCAUUGAGUGUCGUAUACUUUUUAUUGUGAAUGUUAUGAAAAUAGCUUUCGAAACUCGAUUUCUUGUGACGUAAGUUCAUUAAAAAAAAAAAAUUUAUGUUUCAGCCCAUCCUAACAUCAUUUUUUGGCUCCGCCCCUGCUUGAAACUGUGUUUUUUUUCUAGUUUUUAACUUUCAUGUCAGUUUGUCCCCAUUUGGUGGCCAUUAUUGAGAGAAAAUGAUGUUUUGAAUAGUGAUUAUUUGGAAAAUAUGUGCUUAAAAAGUAGUUAAAUGUCUGAAAGAAAGCGUGUUGAUCUGUCGGGGAAAAUUAUAUAGACUCUAAAAUUAUUUCCAACUGGGGAUGCUAAUAAUAUAUUCUAAGGUAUAUAAACUUUUAUUUCUUAUAGAUGAUUACAAGUAAAAGAACAAAAGAAUUACUACUUUACUAGACUCCAAACAAAUCAAUAAAUGUAAUAUUCCUGUGCCUAAAUUAAUCGAACUUCAGAAAACUAGUUCUUUUUACGCUGAGGUGUUAAGACUACACUCUGGAGGAAAUCCUUGGGAGAAUCGCUUUGAAUCAGAGCAAUAAUUAUAUAUCAUGUAAUUUUUCUGCACCCAUUUUAGCCUCUCUUGGCUUGUGGAAUCCAAUUCUUCAUUCAGCCAUGAAUUGCUGCUACUUGAAGUUGAAGAUGGAGUGCAAGAAGAUGAACCCGAUGAGGACGACACACAUGCAUCUGCAUUGAAAUUUCUGUAGGAUGCAGUAAAGGGAGCCUGAUUCCAGUCGGUUUUCACAAGCCCGCCUCUUGUUGCCCAAUCGUCAGCAUUCCACAAGCUAGAGUAAAUUCUCAUGGGUUGGUUCUUUGGGUAUGCAACACCUAGAGACUCAGCAUUCUUGAAUUCUCUGAUCGGUGUACCAUCCACAGAAAAGCUGAAAUGGGAGCACAAAUAAGUCAGAAAAACGAGACGAUAUCGUCUAAAUGUGAGGUGUUUGGUAACUGUGAAAUUACUUACAUGAUGCGUUGGGGAUUCCAGAGGAUGGAAUAGGUGUGAAAAUCUGCAGUCGGGUCGAACCAGAGAUAGAAUUGCUGCUCCCUGUUGCCCUUUCCUUGGCCAAACACAUUGGUGUGAAGAAUAUAAGGAUCCCCACUCAGGUUUCCCAAGAACUCGAAGUCUAUCUCAUCAUGGGUUGAUCCUUGAGAUGACAACUGCACAAUACAUAACACAAUAUUAGUUAUAACUUCCCAUCUAUAGUAUCAAGGAAGAAAAAAAGCUAAAAUAUCGUCCAGCUUACAUAAUAGGCAGUGACGGUGCCAGCAGAAUUUCCAGGUACGAGUUUGAGUUGCAUAUCAAUCUUGCCAAAUAGAUACUCAUUCUUGGAUUGAAAUCCAGAGCCAGAAAUUUUAUCAAGUGAGAGAGUCAGAAGUUCUCCAUUGUUGAGUAUCUUAGCUCUUCCAUCUCCCCAUGUGAUAUCAAAAUCUUGAUGGAAAUUACCUCCAAGUGCUAUUACAAAACAGCUACUUAUAACUAAAACUAAAGAAACUGAAUUCAAAGAAGCCAUUAUUGAAGAGUUGAAUUGCGUUGGCAAAGUAUAAUGAAUAAAUCUAAGAAGAUUUGGUGUUUAAGAUUGUUGUUUGAUGUUGGAAUAGGAUCCAUUCAAGGGUAUUUAUAGGGAGUUUGUGGGGUCUGUAGAAAUUGCAGGGAGGGUUCCAUAAAUUCAAGUUGUGUGGUGAAAAGUGUUUGAGCUGGAUACAGAUAUUGGCCAAAACGAGUUGCUGUCAACAGUUUUUUGUAUAUCCAGUGACAACCCAUUUCGCCUUUUAAUAUUUAUUAUUAAUACCACAGUCUACACUGUUCUGAUAAUAUUGUCCUAAGUGUAAGCUUUUGACUAGAGUACAACUGAUUUACCUUUCAAAUAGUAAUACCUCUACAAUUUAAAAUAGAUAUCGAUUCAUUUACAUACUGAUACAUCUAUAAUUCAAAGGAAUCAAACCGGACAAGAUCCAAAAUCGCUCGAUUUGCUCCAAUUAAAUUUUCCAUUGUCUACAGAACCUACUUGUCCAUUUUGAAAUUCUCAAUGGGAUUUGGUUCGGUUCAAGUUCUCAAGAAACUCAGGUUGAACAAGCUGGUAUCCACCCCUAAUAUUAAUUACUUUAAAGGUCCUUACCUUUAUCAUUUUCUUAUUUACAUCUUUAACUUUUUCAUCACAUCUUUAUUUUUAACAUUUCCUUAGCUAGCAAAUAUUAUCCUUAAUCGCAAUUUUCUUGCACAAAUGUUAUUAACGUGCUCUAAAAUGAGGAAUAAAUAUAUAGUUGUAAUUCUAUUUUUUUGGCUUAUUUAAAAAUACAAUGGUAAAUGUCUUUAUUUUAUUUGGACAAAAACCGCAAUAAGGGACAAGUUGUGUUAAUUUGAGAAUAAGAAUACAGUUUUAAAAAAUUAAGACAUAAAUGUGAUAAUGAUUAAAUAUUACAAACAUUUUCAUGCAAUCAAAAUGUGUUGUAAUUAUUAAAAAAUAUUUUGUGAAUAUAUUUAGCUUUACUAAAUAAUCACACACUGAAUAGAAGUUUUGGUUUAAGACAUAUUUCGUUUUCUUUAAGUUUAUCGAUUCAGCUCAAUCAAUUAUCAACAACCCUCAAAUUUGUUACUUAGCCCCUGUUUGAGCCACAUUUUUACUUCAUUAAAAUGAAAAAUAUGACCGUUAUUCAUCACAUCAAGCCACAAUUUUUGAAUUUCUAUCUCUGGUGUGGGGGCCCAUAACGGUUCUAUUUCUCAUUCUCAUUCUCAUUAUAAUGUGGCUCAAAUAGGCUCUUAAUAAUAAAUGUUUUAGCAUUAAACUAAUCAAAUAAGCCAUUAAUUUUUCAAUAGAGAUUUUAAAUUUUGAAAUAGACAUCAUCAAAUUGUAUUUGGUUCUUUAUUAGUGUUAUAACUUUUUUAUUUUUACAUUCUAAAAAAUAUAUAAUAAUAAUCGUUAUCUAGGUUUCCUCCAGAUAUCAUUAUUGGAUUCGGUAAAGAGAUCUGGCCACUGAAUUCACCAUUGUUCUUGUCCUACAUUGACAUUUAUUUUGUGGACUUUGGCUUUACUAGUUUUAUUGUUGUCUAGUUACAAUCUAUGCAUUACGCUCUAUUGGUUACUCUAUUUCAAAUCCAUUUAUAAAAAUUCUUUAGUUUUUUGAGAAAAACAUUAGUUCGAUCUAGAAAGAUUUGAUUAAAGUGAAGGUGAUCGACGACGAUGAGUUCACUUUUGCUUUUGUUACAAGGGAUUUCCGGAGAAUUUGAUUAAGCCCCUGUUUUCUUGAAAUUAAAAUAAAUAAAUAAAUAAAUAAAUAAAUUUUUAGUAGAUUUUGAUAAAAGUUGAUUAAAUAUGUGGUUGAAAAGUUGUGAAUCUAAUGAAAUGUAUAAUUAAAGAGUUUAACUCGUAUUUUAAUUAUUUUUUAGCUGAGCCAAAAAGAGGGCUAAAUUUUAGAAACUUCCCUCGUUGAUAUAAGAGAUUUUUGGGAAUUUUAGGAGUGUCUUAAGUAUUAGAUGUGACUCAUGCCUUAUAAUCGUUUGGAGGCGGGUCAAGUAACUUUGGUGCAAUAGGUCGAGUCUUGUGUUAACAUUAACAAUAUUAGUGUUGAUUAUUAAAUUGAAAAUUAUUUGAAUGGAAUAAAGCCUCGAAGGGGAUUAUCGAUUGUACUACCAAAAGUGUGACACAAUGAACUUUCGCCAAUAAUUAUUCACAAAAUAUAUUUCAGGUCCACUCAAGCUCUCUCAACGCGGAUUGUUUAUAAAUGUGGCCCCCUUGGCCUUAUAAAAAUAAACCUCAAUAGAAUUGAACUUAUAUAAAUGUACCUCAUUUUAUGAUCAUGAUCAAUUUGAUCAUAUGUAUAAUAUUAACUCUCAGAAUUCUCUACAUAGAUAUUUACAUGAAAGAUUUUAGAAAGUUUGUAUACAAUUACGAAAUUAGCCACUUCAAAUAGGUUCAUUGCUCCAGCUCAAAAUACGAUUAAUCCGACGUUGGCUAUAUAAGCUCCUAGUAGUUUACCGAAUAAUUAAUAACUCGAGCAUUCCCGGCCCACCAAGCAAAAUCGGUGAUUUCUUGGUCAUGAUCAAUUACAGCUAAAGUUCCAAUUUACAUAAUUUCCUUUUAAAAAUCUUCAGUCACAAUCUUUGCACAAUACAAUCCAUUUUCACGCGUCUCUUAACCUUUUAGAAUAAUUAUACAAAAGACUUUCACAAGUAUACUUUCAAAUUACCCCCAACGCAUAUCUAUCAAUGAAUCCCAUUAAGUAAUGUUGUUGAUAAUCCUGCACAAUAAUCAACGAACAAAAAGCAGUAAAUUUAAAAGUUUUUGUAAAAUUGACUAUUGUUUCAAUUUUUUCUCAAAUGUAAUAACAAAAAUUGAUGAAAUUUUGCAGGUGUCAUCAAUGAAAUAAUUUAUAGCAUUCUUCAACAUAGAUUAUGUUAAAUAUUCUUGAAAGAAUGAGAAUUUCAAGAUAUUUUUUGUGGUUAAAUCACCUCACUUUUUCAAACUUAGAAAUCUCCAUUAUUAGCAAUAGUUCCAAUAUCAAUCAUAAUGAAAAAAAGAUUAUUAUCAACAAUCUAUGUUAGAAUUUAUUGAAUGAAAUUAAACUCCAUAAAAUAAAAGAAAGAGGCACUCCAUGAUUGGAGGAGAAGAAACCUCCAUGAAAGGAGGGAUUGGAAUUCCACAAUACAAUUAUUUAUUAAUGAAUACAAUCACUCCAUUUAUAGAGAAAAAAGAUGAGUAAUUAACUGACUAAUUUGCUAAUUAACAGGCUAAUCACUAACUAAUUAACAUCCUAGACAUGAGCUGAAAUAUUCGAAAUUUGCUGUAACAUAUUUCUAACACACCCCCUCAAGAUGGACUAUAGAUAUCAACAAUAGUUCAUCUUGAAGAUUAAAGAGUGUACUGGAGGGAAAAACCAUGAUGAAUAGCCUUGCAGAACAAAUCUCUUGAAUCCAUAUAUAUGAGCAUCCAUUAGAUCAGCACGAAACAUCACCAAACAUUCCAUUCCCAUUCCAUUUCGUGCCAGUGCACAAUGCUUUCAGAGUUGAGGAGACUUGUUUUGUAUGGAAAACUUGGUAAGGUUCAUAAUGUAGAAAGGGAUGAUGUUCUCAAUGGAAGCAAACUGGCGGGUCAUUAGAUUUCACCAGAUCUGAUGGAUAAACAAGACUUAGUGUAGGCUUUGACCAUCCAUAAAGAUCUUUGAAAGUUUAGAGAACCAAAAUCUGAAAGAGAAGAAAUUUUAUUGUAGAGAAUCAAGGACGAAUUUUGAUGUUGCUGGCGCCAUUUUCUGAAGACGGGAACUGAACUUUUGCUGGAAUAACACUUUCCAGAAUUAUGCUAAAAUAGAAGAAAUUAGAGAUCUGUUUUCAUUUGUACAGAACACAGAAAGAGGGGAUGAAAAUCUCAAAAAAACACAGCAACAGGAAGAACUCUGCUCUGAUACUAUGUUAGAAUUUAUUGAAUGAAAUUAAACUCCAUAAAGCAGAAGAAAGAGGCACUCCAUGAUUGGAGGAGACGAAACCUCCAUGAAAGGAGGGAUUGGAAUUCCACAAUCCAAUUAUUUAUUAAUGAAUACAAUGACUCCAUUUAUAGAGAAAAAAUAUGAGUAAUUAACUGACUAAUUUGCUAAUUAACAGGUUAAUCACUAACUAAUUAACAUCCUAGACAUGAGCUGGAAUAUUCUAAAUUUGCUGUAACAUAUUUCUAACAAUCUAGGUACCAAAUUUGGUGAAUUUUCAUACCAAAUUUGUGGUUCUAGCUACUUUCAAUUUUGAUGGUAUUUCCUAUACGAAUUUUCACAAUUUUUCUUGCCACAUUUUUUCUCUCGUCCAAGACAAGACAUGAAAGUUGAGGAAGGUUGCGAGAAGUUAUAAGUUUAAAUUCCAAAUUCAAACCACUCCAACCCGUGGAGUUUCACUUGAUAGUUUUAUGAAGUUUUCACUUGAACGUUGUAAACCAAAAUACUAUUUACAAGUGCAACAUAAAAUUGGACAGGGAGCAUGAAAAACGAGGUGCUUGCAAGGCAAUGUGAAAUAAGAGAGAGUAACAGUGACUGAAAAUUUUAUGGUCAAUUUUGUGAUAGCUGAUGUUCAUAUUGGACUUGUAUGAUUUAUAAAAUUAUCAUUAAUUCAUAAUUUCCCAAUCGUCUUUUGCUAAUAAUAUAUUCUAAUGUAUAUAAACUUGUUAAGGACUUGCAUGUAAAUAGUUAUGUAAUUUUUUAACUUUCAUGUCAGUUUGCCCCCAUUUGGUGGCCAUUAUUGAAAGAAAAUGAUGUUUUGAAUAGUGAUUUUUUUUGGAAAAUACGUGAUUAAAUUUUAGUUAAAUGUCUGAAAGAAAGCAAAGGAACAUGUGAUAACUUUCCAAUAUGUUGAUCUGUCGGGAAAAAUUAUAUAGACUCUAAAAUUAUUUCCAACUGGGGAUGCUAAUAAUAUAUUCUAAUGUAUAUAAACUUUUAUUUCUUACAGAUGAUUACAAGUAAAAGAACAAAAGAAUUACUACUUUACUAGACUCCAAACAAAUCAAUAAAUGUAAUAUUCCUGUGCCUAAAUUAAUCAAACUUCAGAAAAUUAAUUCUUUUUAAGCUGAGGUGUUAAUACUACACUCUGGAGGAAAUCCUUGCGAGAAUCGCUUUGAAUCAGAGCAAUAAUUAUAUAUCAUGUAAUUUUUCUGCACCCAUUUUAGCCUCUCUUGGCUUGUGGAAUCCAAUUCUUCAUUCAGCCAUGAAUUGCUGCUACUUGAAGUAGAAGAUGGAGUGCAAGAAGAUGAACCCGAUGAGGACGAAACACAUGCAUCUGCAUUGAAAUUUCUGUAGGAUGCAGUAAACGGAGCCUGACUCCAGUCGGUUUUCACAAGCCCCCCUCUUGUUGCCCAAUCGUCAGCAUUCCACAAGCUAGAGUAAAUUCUCAUGGGUUGGUUCUUUGGGUAUGCAACACCUAGAGACUCAGCAUUCUUGAAUUCUCUGAUCGGUGUACCAUCCACAGAAAAGCUGAAAUGGGAGCACAAAUAAGUCAGAAAAACGAGACGAUAUCGUCUAAAUGUGAGGUGUUUGGUAACUGUGAAAUUACUUACAUGAUGCGUUGGGGAUUCCAGAGGAUGGAAUAGGUGUGAAAAUCUGCAGUCGGGUCGAACCAGAGAUAGAAUUGCUGCUCCCUGUUGCCCUUUCCUUGGCCAAACACAUUGGUGUGAAGAAUAUAAGGAUCCCCACUAAGGUUUCCCAAGAACUCGAAGUCUAUCUCAUCAUGGGUUGAUCCUUGAGAUGACAACUGCACAAUACAUACACAAUAUUAGUUAUAACUUCCCAUCUAUAGUAUCAAGAAAGAAAAAAAGCUAAAAUAUCGUCCAGCUUACAUAAUAGGCAGUGACGGUGCCAGCAGAAUUUCCAGGUACGAGUUUGAGUUGCAUAUCAAUCUUGCCAAAUAGAUACUCAUUCUUGGAUUGAAAUCCAGAGCCAGAAAUUUUAUCAAGUGAGAGAGUCAGAAGUUCUCCAUUGUUGAGUAUCUUAGCUCUUCCAUCUCCCCAUGUGAUAUCAAAAUCUUGAUGGAAAUUACC